rnacentral:lncRNA from 10 species
UACAUGUAAAUUGCUUAUUAACUGUUCAUAGUAAUUCACCUCAAGAUGCAUAUGGAAAUCCACCAGGGUGCCCUAAGGUAAACAGUGAAAACUUAGCCUGGAGCUGUAUCCACACCACAGCACAUGUUUUGGAAUGAAGUCAGCGGGGAUAGCUGGGCAGGAUGAGCUGUUUCUUUGCAUUAGCAUCGUGAGUCCCUCACGGCCAGCAUGUUGCCAUCACUUUUGCUUUUCUCGCCCCCAGAGUAGAACUACAAAUAAUAGAAGAUAUUAAAUGCCUAUGGUUUGCACAGAGCCAUCCUGGAUUGGUGGGAACAAGUAGCCAUUGGGGUCAGACAAACAUGCAUAAUGUCUGUAUCAAACAAGGCAGAAGUUGCCAAGUUCCAAAGGACAAGCACGACGUGGCAGGGCACUCAUGGGAAGCAGAGGCUACCAGUGAUUG